CCUACGGGAGGCAGCAGUGAGGAAUAUUGGUCAAUGGACGAGAGUCUGAACCAGCCAAGUAGCGUGAAGGAUGACUGCCCUAUGGGUUGUAACCUUCUUUUAUAAAGGAAUAAAACGAGGCACGUGUGCCUUUUUGCAUGUACUUUAUGAAUAAGGAUCGGCUAACUCCGUGCCAGCAGCCGCGGUAAUACGGAGGAUUCGAGCGUUAUCCGGAUUUAUUGGGUUUAAAGGGAGCGUAGAUGGGUUGUUAAGUCAGUUGUGAAAGUUUGCGGCUCAACCGUAAAAUUGCAAUUGAUACUGGCAGUCUUGAGUACAGUUGAGGUAAGCGGAAUUCGUGGUGUAGCGGUGAAAUGCUUAGAUAUCACGAAGAACCCCGAUGGCGAAGGCAGCUUACUAAACUGUGACUGACAUUGAUGCUCGAAAGUGUGGGUAUCAAACAGGAUUAGAUACCCCUGUAGUC
rnacentral:rRNA from 1 species